rnacentral:rRNA from 1 species
UACGGGGGGAGCAAGCGUUGUUCGGAUUUACUGGGCGUAAAGGGCGCGUAGGCGGCGCAACAAGUCACUUGUGAAAUCUCCGGGCUUAACCCGGAGCGGCCAAGUGAUACUGUCGUGCUAGAGUGCGGAAGGGGCUACUGGAAUUCUCGGUGUAGCGGUGAAAUGCGUAGAUAUCGAGAGGAACACCUGCGGCGAAGGCGGCGUUCUGGACUGCAACUGACACUGAGAAACGAAAGCCAGGGUAGCAAACGGG